ACGGGUGAGUAAUACAUCGGAACGUAUCCUGGAGUGGGGGAUAGCCCGGCGAAAGCCGGAUUAAUACCGCAUACGCUCUGAGGAGGAAAGCGGGGGACCUUCGGGCCUCGCGCUCAAGGGGCGGCCGAUGGCGGAUUAGGUAGUUGGUGGGGUAAAGGCCUACCAAGCCGACGAUCCGUAGCUGGUCGGAGAGGACGACCAGCCACACUGGGACUGAGACACGGCCCAGACUCCUACGGGAGGCAGCAGUGGGGAAUUUUGGACAAUGGGGGCAACCCUGAUCCAGCAAUGCCGCGUGUGUGAAGAAGGCCUUCGGGUUGUAAAGCACUUUUGUCCGGAAAGAAAUCAUCGGGGCCAAUACCCCUGGUGGAUGACGGUACCGGAAGAAUAAGCACCGGCUAACUACGUGCCAGCAGCCGCGGUAAUACGUAGGGUGCGAGCGUUAAUCGGAAUUACUGGGCGUAAAGCGUGCGCAGGCGGUGCUGUAAGACCGAUGUGAAAUCCCCGGGCUUAACCUGGGAACUGCAUUGGUGACUGCAGCGCUGGAGUAUGGCAGAGGGGGGUGGAAUUCCACGU
rnacentral:rRNA from 1 species